UCUUUUGAGGUAAGGGAUUUUAAGGGUUGUUAUAUUUUUCAUGUUUCGUAACUUUGAAGACCUUAAAAAAUUCUGAAAAAAUUUGAAAUGAUAAUUUGAUGAGUUUUGUUGUUUGUGUCCAAAAAUGGUGAUUUUUGGAUGUAUAGAUUAAGAGUUAUGAAUUUUACGGGAAAAGACUAUUUUAAAAGUAACCGCUUAUAACUCCUUGUGGUUAACUCCAAAAUUGAUGAAAUUUUUAUUGGGAGUACAUAUAUAUAACAUGGG
rnacentral:lncRNA from 1 species